CUUGGUCGUUGCUCUUUGAGAUCUCCCGAUCGGGUGGCAGACGAUUGUAUCAGUCUCGUCCUCAUCUUCUCCAUCUCCUCUCUUCCUCAUCUAGAUGGUAAGACAUGUCUUUCGAUUUAGAUCUGUGAUUUCUUUUUGCCUAUUUCGGUUUUGGAUUCUUUUAUGGUUCCUGACGUCUUCUGCUCCUUUCGGUUUCGAAUUCGUUUAGGGUUUCUGACCUCUUCUGCUCCUUUUCGUUUCGAAUUCUUUCAGGCUUUCUGACCUCUUCUGCUCCAUUUGGUUUCGAAUUCUUUCAGGGUUCCUGACCUCUUCUGCUUCAUUUGGUUUCGAGUUAUUUCAGGGUUUCUGACCUCUUCUGUUCCUUUUCGUUUCGAAUUCUUUCAGGCUUUCUGGCCUCUUCUGUUCCACUUGGUUUCGAAUUCUUCCAGGGUUCCUGACCUCUUCUGCUCCAUUUGUUUUCGAGCUAUUUCAGGGUUCCUGACCUCUUCUGCUCCUUUUGAUUUCGAAAUCUUUUAGGAUUCCUGAUCUCUUUUGCCCAUUUUGAUUACGUAUUCUUUUAGGGUUCUUGAUCUCUUUUGCGCAUCUAGAUUACGAAUUCUUUUAGGGUUAUUGAUUACUUUUGCGCAUUUCGAUUUCGAAUUCUUUUAGGGUUAUUGAUUACUUUUGCGCAUUUCGAUUUCGACUUCUUUUAGGGUUUUCAGAUCGCUCAUGGUUUCUUUUCUUUUCCUUUGUCCGAAUGGAAUCCUCUCGGCCCGAAACCUGUCACGAGCCCUGUUCCCGUUCUUUGGUGUCAAGCUGUUGCUCUUGUCGGCCUCUUCGUCAUUGUAUUGUCUUCUUGUAAUUUUCGUGCAGACCCCUUACUCUCUCUUUUAAUUUCUUCUUUUCUCGAUGUCUUCUUUUCUUGCUGUUAAUUGUUAAUAUCCAUAUGCAUUACAAUUUCUUUGAAUUCAUAGUGAUUUUGGUCAAAGAUUUGGGAGAAAAAUAAGGAAGUAUUGCACCAAGAGUAGCUGGAUUCUUGGCAAUAUAUGCAUGCUACUGUCUUCCACUAGUAAGGGCUUUGCUGGCGAUAGAUAUAGGACUUUAAUGUAGGAUACGGUUCAAACUUACACUUCAUUGUCUGGAUCUUGUCCAUGGUAUAGGCUUUCGUGGUACUCAUCGCGAUUGAUGUUUCUGAAGGGUUAUUCGUAUUGUUACCUUUAAUAAUUUAUUAGGAUCCUUAUAAGACGAUCUUUAGUAGUGUGAUACCUAUAUUGAGAUGUAAUAAAGCUGAUUCAGCAGUGUCUGAACUGGGAUUCUCCAGUACAGAAAGGAGAUAAUUUCCUUUCUGUGACGUCUCUUUAAUGAUUAAUGGACUCUUACGUUAGAAAAGCAAAUCACAAUGAUUUCCAUGAUGCCCCGAUAGUCUCAAAAAGUUUAUGGUUGUUUCAUGUAUAGGAAUGAACGAGACUACUAAUAAAUUUGGCUUAAGCAUUUAUGCCAUGUGAUUUAGGGCCCACGGCAGUACUCUCCGUGACUGGGUCAUCAUCAUUGGUAUAAAGAGAAAUUUUGUUGAUGAUUUCAUGUGGGCGAACAUGUGAGAGUAGAACCUAAGAGAUGAAUUCUAAGCCAGAUUUGUUUGCUCUUUUCAGUGGCUCCAAAUUGAGAGUUGAUUUUGUUGUGAAUCUCCUGACUAAAUGCAAAUGGUUGAUAUCUGCAAUAUUUGAUUUUGGGAUUUCGCGUACAGAGGGUGGAUGAUUGUUACUAUCAUAUGAUACUCUGAUGUUUAGGUUUUGAGAAUCCUAUGAUGUUUGUUAUGUCAAGAAAGCUUACUAGCAUUCAAUAAUAAUCUUGCUAGACUUGUAUUUGUGAUAAACGUUACAAUGGUUUGGCUUUUGUCGUUCUCAACCAGGAAGUACAUUUCUACAUAUCAAAGAUGAAACCAGAAAUGUUCCUGAUAUAACUUAACUUACUAGCUGUUUUAUUUAAGAUGGAUUAAUAAGCAGGGCCAUAGUAAUUUGUAAUUCAAGCAUGCACAAAGUAUGUACCAACUCUGGUCCUCGUAAAGGUUGUUGUAUAUCAUUUUCAGGUUUGUAGUUUUUUACUCAUUAAAAAUGCAAUGUUAAGUUUUACUCGUUAAAAGAAUGAACUUGACUCUUAAAGGCUCAGUUGCUGACCUUCAGGGAAAUAGAGUGAGCAACUAUCGUACUGAACUUUCUUGAGUAGAAUAGUAUUGUUCUAUGAGGUAUAUUGUAUUCAGGGUAACUGGAGUUGGCUACCACCCAUGUGAAGUAUGAAUAGAAACUUGUUUGAUUUGAAAUUAGUUGCCUAAGUUCUUGCAUUUUUGGUGUCCUUCAGAGAAUUGGAGAGAGGGGACACCUGGUUGUUCUGUAGAAAUUUUAAACUAAUCAUUCAACAGUGCUGUUGUGGGAAAUGGAAGGAAAAGGUUCUUCCGUUUGCUGUUGUUCCUCUCUGGCAUUGUCAAUGCUGCUGUUGAAUUGAAAAUUGUUACAAUUGUUCUGUUGUUACAAUUGUAAUGCUUGAGAG
rnacentral:lncRNA from 1 species